AUGCCAGGCUAUGGAAAACCUGAAAUAUUUGGCACGGGGUCCCCUCGGGGACAGCAGCAUGGUGUGGCUGCGGGGCAGCACGUGCUGAGCAGGUCCUGCAGGAGCACUGAGCAUGAGGAGGGGAAGAGGAAAACCACCGCCUGCUGCGCUCGGAGCAUUUCAGGGCACGCUGCAGGGUGCGCUUUCCCAAGACCGUGCAAGAUGUGCAGCAAGGGGAAAUCCCAGCAGAUGUUACCCAAAAGGUGCAGCGUCAGGGUGGUGGGAGCCCUGUGGCCGUGCCCAGGGACCGGUGGCACGGGUCAUGGUCCUGUGCAGGAGUCCUCAGAGCAGGAGCAGUGCCCGUGCUGGGCUGAACACGAACAGAGGCCCUUUGAGACUGAGCCGUGCCUGCAGCUCCGCAGACCAAAAUAUCAUUGGGAAGGACAGCCCCGAACCUGCCUCCUCCCCGGCUUGGAGAAAGCGCUUUGGAGCACGGGCUGUCUUUUUCCCCUCUCCUUUUACUUUUACAGGUUUCAUUUUGGCUUUGAUUCCGGCAAGUUUACUGACAGAUUACUUCAUUUUAACUCUAUGGCUUUCCUGUCUUGUGGGAGGCAUAUUUCUAAGUAUCAUAUUUAUCAAAAGGUCUGCGCAAAAACAAGGGCCAGAAUUACUCUUUUGAUGGUUCCCCCAAUAACUACAACCGCAAUAAAUUUGUCAGGGACCUUUUGUGCCGGGGUCUGGAAGUGGGGUGCGGGCACAGUCGCCCCAAAUUGGGGGCCGGUCCCCCCCCCCUUCCCGUGGCAGCAGCACAGCUGGGCUCGCUGGCGGGGCCGCCCCUCCCAUCCCCGGGGGGACAUAUUUCCCCCUACUAUAACUUUAAAUCAGAGCAGCAUUUCAAUAAAUCACGGUGAACACUUAUUUAUUGGACAUAGUUUUGGGGCUCUUAAAGCACGGAAAAUAAAUUUAAUGGAGCGUUUGGAGCAUUUCUCCAAUCUUUUGAGGGAUUACUUGGGGAAUUUGUCAACGGAGCCAAGCACAGCAGCUUGA
rnacentral:lncRNA from 1 species